rnacentral:rRNA from 1 species
UACGUAGGGGGCAAGCGUUGUCCGGAAUCAUUGGGCGUAAAGAGCGUGUAGGCGGCCUGGUAAGUCCGCUGUGAAAGUCCAGGGCUCAACCCUGGAAUGCCGGUGGAAACUGUCAGGCUCGAGUCCGGAAGAGGCGAGUGGAAUUCCUGGUGUAGCGGUGAAAUGCGCAGAUAUCAGGAGGAACACCAAUGGCGAAGGCAGCUCGGUGGGACGGUACUGACGCUGAGACGCGAAAGCGUGGGGAGCAAACAGG